rnacentral:sRNA from 1 species
GCCAGGCAUGGUGACUCAUGCCUGUAAUCCCAGCAACUGAAGGCGGAGGCAGGAGGAUCACAAGUUCAAAGCCCGCCUCAGCAACUUAAUGAGACCCUGUCUCAA